CGGGGUGCAGCAGGCGCGAAACCUCUGCAAUAGGCGAAAGCCUGACAGGGUUACUUUGAGUGAUUCCCGCUAAGGGGAUCUUUUGGCACCUCUAAAAAUGGUGCAGAAUAAGGGGUGGGCAAGCCUGGUGUCAGCCGCCGCGGUAAUACCAGCACCCCGAGUGGUCGGGACGAUUAUUGGGCCUAAAGCAUCCGUAGCCGGCCACGCAAGUCCUCCGUUAAAUCCACCCGCUCAACGGUUGGGCUGCGGAGGAUACUACGUGGCUAGGAGGCGGGAGAGGCAAGCGGUACUCAAUGGGUAGGGGUAAAAUCCUUUGAUCCAUUGAAGACCACCAGUGGCGAAGGCGGCUUGCCAGAACGCGCUUGACGGUGAGGGAUGAAAGCUGGGGGAGCAAACCGGAUUAGAUACCCGGGUAGUCCCAGCUGUUAACGAUGCAGACUCGGUGAUGGGAUGGCCUCGAGCCAUCCCAGUGCCGCAGGGAAGCCGUUAAGUCUGCCGCCUGGGGAGUACGGUCGCAAGACUGAAACUUAAAGGAAUCGGCGGGGGAGC
rnacentral:rRNA from 1 species